UACGGGGGGAGCAAGCGUUGUUCGGAUUUACUGGGCGUAAAGGGCGCGUAGGCGGCCAGCACAAGUCAGUUGUGAAAUCUCCGAGCUUAACUCGGAAAGGUCAACUGAUACUGUGCGGCUAGAGUGCGGAAGGGGCAACUGGAAUUCUUGGUGUAGCGGUGAAAUGCGUAGAUAUCAAGAGGAACACCUGCGGCGAAGGCGGGUUGCUGGGCCGACACUGACGCUGAGACGCGAAAGCGUGGGGAGCAAACAGG
rnacentral:rRNA from 1 species